UGUAGCCAAAUUUGUGGAAGUCAGCAAAAGUAUCAAAGAACCAAAGAGUUAGUUAUUUUAGGGAGGCAAGAAGAAGGAUCCUAAUGCCCACAAAAGACCACCAUCUGGAUUCCUCCUGUUCUGUUCAGAAUUCUGCCCAAGAUCAAAUUCACAAAGCCUGACAUCUCUAUUGGAGAUGUGGCAAAAAAGCUGGCUGAGAUGUGGAAUAACUUAAAUGACAGCGAAACCAAACCAUAUCAAUCACCAAGGCAGCAAAGCUGAAGGAGAAGUAUGAGAAGGAUGUUGCUGACUAUAAGUCUAGAAAGUUUGAUGGUGCAAAAGGUCCUGCUAAAGUUGCCCAAAAACAAGUGGAAGAGGAAGAUGAAGAAGACGAGGAGGAAGUAAAGGAGGAGGAUGAAUU
rnacentral:lncRNA from 1 species